rnacentral:rRNA from 1 species
CAGCAGCCGCGGGAAUACGGAGGGAGCUAGCGCUGUUCGGAAUUACUGGGCGUAAAGCGCGCGUAGGCGGUUACUCAAGUCAGAGGUGAAAGCCCGGGGCUCAACCCCGGAACUGCCUUUGAAACUAGGUGACUAGAAUCUUGGAGAGGUCAGUGGAAUUCCGAGUGUAGAGGUGAAAUUCGUAGAUAUUCGGAAGAACACCAGUGGCGAAGGCGACUGACUGGACAAGUAUUGACGCUGAGGUGCGAAAGCGUGGGGAGCAAACAGGAUUAGAUACCCGUGUAGUCCCUGUCUCUUAUAC